UUAACGUAAGAACGCAUUUUCACUAAGAUAUAUAUAUAUAUAUAUAUAUAUAUAUAUAUAAUAUAGCGAACACAGAAAACCAAGAGAAAGAGCAUUCACAGCCAGAUCAGACCCAUGUCCGCUGCAUUCGGUACGUGUCGAACACUUCAGCAGUUAUAAUUAGUGUUUCUUAAUUACUGACGAUUAAUUGUGUGUGUCAGAGCUGGGCUUUGAUCUUUGUAAGAUGUUAGAGGACGUGUCCGUCUGUGUGGAUGAUCUGCCGACGCCGACGCCCCUCUCCCCGCCCCCGACCCCAGUGGAGGCGGCGCUUCAGCGGCCUCGGCCAGUGAGAUUCAGCGACCUGCCCACAGAAGACACGCCCACUCUACAGCACGUCACUAAAUACAGGCCACAGCGGACGAAGAAAGCCAAACCCAACAGAGCCGCUAGAUUCUCAACUGAGCGGCUUCUUCAUCAAGCAUCGCUCUUCUGCUAAAGCCACGCCCACCAGCCCCACACCCGCCGCCGUGGCAACAGCAGAAUCAGACACCCCUCCCCCUGAGCCGGCCGUGACCUCGAGUGACCCCACACCUGUAGCAGCACCUGUAGCAGCUGAGGUCAAAGGGCACGUUCAGGAGGUUGGUCAAACACGGCAGUCCUCUGACGGGGCGUCACUUGGGCGUACAGGUGCUGGGCGACGACAUGCUGGCCGAGAUAUGAGCCAAACAAGAGAAACACAAGAAGGUGAGGCAUAAAUGUUAUAAACAGUAUAACGAGUCUUAAUUAUCACUUUAAGAUGAAAACAGUGAUAAUGUGAUUAUUAAAGGUGAAGAUUGAAUUAUAUAUAUAUAUAUAUAUAUAUAUAUAUAUAUAAUUUUACAGGCUCGAGGUUUCAGAGCAGUUCACAAUUAAUGAAUAUUACACAUUUAUGCCAAGCAAUUGCUUAUGAUUUACUGUUGAUGAACUAUGACCCAUGUUUACUAUUUUUUUAUUUUUUUAUUAUUGUAAUAUGUUAUUGAUGGUU
ensembl:lncRNA